GAGCCCGAGUGGGAGAGGCAGGCCAGUCGCCCGGGAAGGCGACACAACCGCUUCGGACAGUCGCCUCCAGCCCAAAGCCCCAAGCCAUCCCGCGAUGCCCUCCCUCCUCUCCCCCUUCGCCGCCGGCGACUGCUCCGCCGAUAAGUUCGACCCCGACUACCUCUACUUCCUCCGCCACCUUCGCACCGAAGGCAGCUCCUAUGUCCUCGAGCUCCCGCCCGGCGGCGCCUCCCCUGCCCCCGUCAUCAGGUACGAGUCCCCCAUCGCCAUCUCCGACGGCGAAUGCGUCUCGGACCCCUCCCCGGGCGGCGCAAGCGCCAACCGCCGGGCGGAAGAGAGGGACUCGUCGGUGGAGACGCCCCCCUCGUGGAUCGACUCCAUCGUCGACAUCGACGAGGAUUACCGCAUUUUCCUGCACCACACGUGCGUGGUGAAUAACCGCCUGAAGCUCCAGAUGGGGGGCGUCGUUGUGGACUACGAGCCGGACCCGGACGCCGCGCAAUCUGGAGGCAGCAGCGGGGUCGAGGAGCAAUCGGAGAAAGACGCGGCCGUUGCUUCCUCGGAGGGAGAGGAGCAGGUGGUCGACUCAGAUGUGCCGGUUGUAAUUAUGCCGGAGCCGAACGCCUACGACUGGCGUGCGGAUCCAGCCCCUCGUCAAAGGAUGCAGGGUCAGGAAGAUAUUGGGCACAAGGAUGCUCAGCCUCGCGUUGCUUCGUCACAUAGAUCAGGUGCUAUAUGGCCCCCACAUAUCAACCGUAGGCCAGAUUCAGACUUCAAGCGAAGAUUGAUGGAUGCUCUUCAGAAGCCAUUUAGCCGGAAAGAAUAUAUUAAGCUGUUUGACAUGGCUUCUAUUCGUACUCCUUUAGUGAAGUUGCGACAGGUGCGCAAUGAUGCAAAAUUCUACCCUACCGAGGAGAUGGGCAAUUCGUAUUUUGAUCAUUACCCAGGCCAAAAUGCUUAACAUUUUUGCCUCAAAAUUUGCAGAUCUCGUCGAACAAGUUACAAACACUAGCUUUUCCAAGGGUUUAGCUCUGAUGCGUGGAUUUUUCUUCUGGUUACAGAAUAGUGCACACGAGGAUCAAUUCAGGCCAUGGACAGAUGAUCUGAAAGAUCAAGAUGUUAUUCCAUUGAUGGACUUAGAUUACCCAUUGCCUUAGUUCACUCAUAUUCUCUUUUGUGGAGAUAAUUCUUAAAGGGCGAAAUCAUUCUCAGUAGAGAAUAUUUGAUUUUUAUCAUUUUAUAUAUGGAGUGUGCGAAUAAGUGCUGGGGCAGUCUGCUUGUGUGGUUCUUUCUCUUGGGAGAAUAAAUGUAUAUAUUGCUCAACUGUUGAAAGGAGAAAUCAUUCCCUGUGAAAUUGCAUACAUUCUAGGAUACAACUGGGAUCUACUCCCUCCGAUUCUAAAUAUAAGCCUUUUUAGAGAUUUCAA